rnacentral:rRNA from 1 species
GACGAACGCUGGCGGCGUGCUUAACACAUGCAAGUCGAACGGAAAGGCCCUGCUUUUGUGGGGUGCUCGAGUGGCGAACGGGUGAGUAACACGUGAGUAACCUGCCCUUGACUUUGGGAUAACUUCAGGAAACUGGGGCUAAUACCGGAUAGGAGCUCCUGCUGCAUGGUGGGGGUUGGAAAGUUUCGGCGGUUGGGGAUGGACUCGCGGCUUAUCAGCUUGUUGGUGGGGUAGUGGCUUACCAAGGCUUUGACGGGUAGCCGGCCUGAGAGGGUGACCGGACACAGGGAGAGAGAGAUACGGCCGAGACUCCUGGGGGGGGCAGGAGGGGAGAAUAGUGCACAAGGGGGGGAAGCGUGAUGGAGAAACGCCGCGUGCGGGAAGGCGGCCUGGGGGUUGUAAACCGCUUGCGCCUGUGAAGAAGCGAGAGUGACGGUAAGGUGUAGAGAAGCACCGGAUAAAUACG